CCCGUCACCUAGUAUGUGUGCCACCCCUAACACAUAACAAAUACCCAAGCCAACGGGUAAAUGCCCUCAAAUCCAUGUUUAGAUAUGUUACUUACCUCAAACAAGCCAAAUCCAUACUCUAAAAAUGCCUUCCCGCACGAAACGACCUCCGAGUGGUUCGAAUCUAGCCAAAAGUAACUCAAAGCAUCAAAUAAUGCCAUAGGAAACAAACCCAAACAAUAAAGGUCGAAUCUUUAAUCAAAUACUCAAAGUCAACCAAAAGGUCAACCUGGGACCGCACCCCAAAACCCAACAAAAUUUAUAAAUUCCGACAACCCAUUCGUAUACGAAUCCAACCAUACUAAUUUCAUCCAAUUCCGACUCCGGAUCAAUGUUCAAAUCUAAAUUAUUCAUUUUAGGAAAGUUUUUGACAAAACCCCCAAUUUCUCUUUUAGAUUAACCAAUCAAAUGCCACAAUCGAAGAUGAAAUCAUGUAAUAUAAUCAAAUCUGAGUAAAAAAAUACUUAAUCUAAUCCAAAUCAUGAAAAUCCCCUCAAAUAAUAGUCCAAAUCUGAGCUCCCAAACUCAAAAUACGAUAAAAUAAACAAAACCCUCGAUAUAUAAAAAGCUGAUAGUGAUUUCCGCGUUUGCGGACAAAGAGUCGCAUCUGCAGCCCCGCUUCGUCGGUUCCUAACUAGCAUCUACGAGAAUCCCUCAACAGGUCGCUGACCGCAUCUGCGACAAGCAAGCCGCAUCUCCGGCUCCGCAGGUGCACCAACAACAACCAACAUGAUCCAAAAUGAUCUGAAACCCAUCUGAAACUCACUCGAGCCCCUCGGAACCCCGUCCAAUCAUGCCAAUAAGUCCCAAAUGUAACAUGGACAUGCUCGAGGCCUCAAAUCACACAAAAUAAUAUCAAAACCAUGAAUCGCACCUCAAAUCAAGCUUAAUGAACUAUUUCAAAUUUCCAAACAUACUCUGAACAUGUCUAAACAACUCGGAAUCACCUCAAAUUUUGCGCACGAGUUCCAAAUGACACAAAGAACCUAUUCUAACUGCUGGAGCAACAAUCCAAACCCGAUAACAUCGAAGUCAACUCCCGGUCAAACUUAUGAAUUUUCUAAACGUUCAAAUUGCCAACUUUCGCCAAUUAGAGCCAAAACCUUCUAGAAGCGUCCAAAUAUAUAUAUAUAUAUGGGCAUACGCCCAAGCCCAAAAUCACCAUCCGGAACUAAUGGAACCAUAAAAACUCCAUGAAAAAAAUACUAUACCUGGACCUAUUAAUACAUGAGCGGGGAGAGAGAAACAAAAGGGAUUCAAGGCUAAGGCUUUUCUCUUCACCACCCAUCCGACCAAGGUUUCCAAUACACACUAAAGGUGAGUUUUAAGUGUAGUUUUAUGAUGAUUUCACUUCUCAAUCACUAGUUACAAUAGGGCUUUGUCUUGGAUUCCAAAGGAUUUCUUCAAAAUCUCAAGAACAUCCCAAAAGUUGACUUUCAAGAUUUGGGAUACAAGAGGUAAUUCUUCGCCCUUAAACCUACAUGCAUGGAUUUUUAGUGAAUAUAUGAGCAAGAAAUAAGUAUUAUCACUUAUGGGAUAGUGAUUGGAAGACAUAAGUGCUUAACUUAGAUUAUUGGGUGUUGUAGAGAUUUUGUAAUGAGUUAAUUAGUAAAAUUUGGUGGAUGUGAGUUCAUUGAUGAUUAUAAUGGUACUAAAGAAGGCAUUUAGUAGUCAAAGGAUGUUUUAGUAUCUCUUGUUGGUGGGAAGGAGGGAUUUUUGGAUGAAGAAAUACAAUUACUAGAGGUAGUAGAAUGCUAUACACUAUAGGUGUUUGACAAAAUGCCAAAAUAACCUAAAACCGGGAAGUUUUUAAUAAUAUUGGGCCAAUUGAAUUAUGUCGAUGUAGAUUGAAGUUAUAAGAGUAGUGGAGGUUUUAGUAUCACUAAAUCUCUUAAUCGUGGUAUGUUGGCUAACUCCUUUUCUAAAAUCGAAAUCCAUGAGUUCCUCGUAAGUUCUAAAUAUGGUUUGGUCAAACUCCUAUCCCAACUGUUCCAAAUUGCUUCCGAAUGUGCUUGAGUUCUUACAUACUCAUGAGUUGAAGCUAUAGAUAUCAUGCUCCCAUUUUGGAAAGGUAUUCCAAGAAUUUGUGUACUAAUCGCUUAUGAGUUUAACUUGUGUUUCAAUUGUCAAUCAUUAUGCUCCACUCUUUGAAAGGAAUUCAAUGUGUUUAAGGUACUAUACUAAUGAACUUAAAGUUAUGAUUUCUAGAAUGUUCUAUAAAUUGAUGUUUAUGAUAAUGGUCCUUGGAAGUAAAGAAAUGAAAGUGUAAAAUAUGAAAUGCAGCAAUGGUACCAUGAAUGAGGAACAUUAGGUAUGGCCAAGAGAGCCAAUGAAAUGAAGAUGUUGUGAAUGGUUAACAGUGAUAAUGAAGCGAUAGAAGUUAUGAAAAGCUAUGAGAUGAAUACAUUUGUAUUUUUAUUUCCUUUAUAUACAAAAUAUUUUUGGGAGUAUCAUUAGCGCACUGAGGAAAGGUGGGUUGUAAAGGCCCACACCCGAAACUACAUGUGCCGGUGUAGGAGACGAUUGAGAGACAAAAAUUUCCUUGUACUAUGAUGAGAGUAUUCUCCUUAAGUGGGAUGAGUUUGUUGCUUACACCUGUUCAUAUCACCAUGUCGAUCCACAUGGCAUUGUGGGGAGACGACUUAGCUGAUCGGGUGGUGAUCGGACACCAUGCCGCGUACAUGGUGGUUCCUCCUUCUUAUUAUUAUAUUUGAUUUGUAUCACCAUGUCGAUCCAUAUUCAUUCGUGGUAAGAUGGCUUAGCCGAUCGAGCAGAGAUCAGACUCUGUGCCAUAUGCACGGGGGUACUGGGUAUCCACAUCCACCUAUAUUGAGGUGAGACGGCUUAGCCAAUCGAACAGUGAUCGGACUCCAUGCCUCUUUCUUGGUGUGACGAUCAAUGGCUAAUGAUCUCCCAACCAAAAAUGUUAAUGCUUAUUUGAAAAUUGGUUAUGUUUUAACUUGGCUUUUAGAUAUUAUUGGUUUUCCUUAUCGCUUUCAUGAUCUCUCCUUCUUAUAUUGGCAUUCUAUUCCAUGAGAGGGUAUUUAGCUUUACAUACUAGUACUAUUCCAUAUGUACUAACAUCCCUUUUGCUGGGGAUAUUGUAUCUUUAAUAGAUGCAGGUGGCUCCACGGCAGGUGGCUCAGGUUCUUGAUAGGUGUGCCCUCUUCUCAGCUGACUAGGUGAGUCCUACUCUAUAGCAGGGUUGUAUGUUAGUACUGACACUUUUAUGUUAUUUUGAGGUAUAGCCCGGGCCUUGUCACCGGCAUCUCCAUACUAUUCUCGUCAUUUAGAGCCUCCGCAGACAUAUUGUGAGUCGUGUUUUGGAUGGGGUAAAACUAUAAAUAUCAUUCCUAUUAGUUGAUUUCACUUACAAACUAUGAACUUGUAUUAUUUUGCCUUUUACAAAUGAAUCUAAUUUGUGAAAUUGGAAGUGUACAUUUUACCCUCUGGUUUGACCAUAUGUUUGUAUUUAUUCGUGAGUUAUUUAUAGGCAAGGUUGAAUGGUAGGAACUAAGUAGGCUUGCUUAACUAGGGUAACUCGGUUGAGUGCCAGUCCCGCUCCCCAAGGUCGGGGCGUGACAAGCUUGGUAUUAGAGCCAAAGGUUUUAAAGCAUCUUAGGAUGUCUCGGAGCCGUAUCUAGUAGAGUCCUUCUUAUUGGUGUGUUGUCGACCACAUCAAUAAGUAGGAAUCUACUUGGGCAUUUAGGAAUGUCACCCUUAUUUGAAAUUCUAGAUCGUGCCAUAGAUCUCAAGGUAGGAAACUAAUUUCCCCAUCGUUUCUAUAUUGUUUUAGAAGAUCAAUCCACGAGUUGGAGGCGGUGAAGAGGGAUUGACCCCACCAUUGAAUCUGGGUAGAUUGCCCAAGAGUUCGUUGGGAGGAUGGGUCGAGCCUUGUAGGGAUUGGAAGAAGUAGUUACUAGGGGAAAUUCCCUGGUUCCCCUGCUUGCGCCACGCCAUCGAAUUAUGUGGCGCAAGCACCUAGGAAACGAAAGAGGGUUGUUUGUACCAAUAAACCGCAAUGUCCGAUUUGUAAGAAGCGCCAUCUGGGGAUAUGUUGGAUGACUCUUGAAAUAUGUUAUGGUUGUGGAAUGAGAGGGCACAAGAAGAACAGAUGCCCCAAGUUGGGCACACCCAGAGAAGUCAACCCGACUUGUGGAAAGGAACAUAUGGCGCCAUGUCGCAAGCAUGCUCAGGAGCGUUUUAGGGGCGGCAGGCCCGGGCACUUCCAACGGCAGUGCAGCUAGCGAUAACUAAGAGUGGCAUUAGCACCAGCACUAUGAGCCAAUACAAAUAUUUUUGCUCCCAUCUUGAGGGCCUGGAGGAAGGAUAGGGAGGAUGCUUAUGAUGUAUGCAAAAGGGUAAAUAUAUUAUUAGUGGGACAAGCCACCUUAGCGGACCUCAUCCUCAUUGUGAGAAGUGUAGGAGGUGCCAUUCGGGGGUGUACCGCCAAGGUACCAAUGCAUGUUAUGGGUGAGGUGUUGGUAGGCAUCAGAUAAGGCACUGCCCCAGCAACCAAGGAUAGCAAGUAAGUCCCUCCUUAGUACAUCAUUAUAAAUAUCAUAUAACUUUUCUUGUCGAAUUUGGGCAUCUAUAUUGAAGGGGGCAGCACAAACAUGGUCUUAACACAACAUUGAGUCACAGAACAUUGAAUGUACAUACUCUUUGGACUAGAUACAUCGUUCAUAGAGCCUCUUUACCGUGAUUCUCUUACAUACAAACUCUUAAGGAAUCUAGUUCUAUAAUGAUUUCCUUGAAUCGAGUUAUAACCUUAGGUUGGUAAUUUUAACUUGAUUCUCCAAAUUCUCAACAAAGGACUUUACUUGACGAGUUUCUUAUAGGAUUUCCUAUUUGAAAUGAAUAACGUAUGUUGUCUUAGGCACACACCAUCCUAACUUUAACCUACACGACAUCGAGUCAAAUGUAAAGCAACCUUGUGUUGAGACCUUUCCUAGACCACUCUCUUUCUUACAUAUGCGGCUCAUAGGAUUUAAGAAAUCACUUUACUUAUUUUGUGAGCAUUAUCAUGAACCAUCUUCACUGUUUAACAACUUAAAAGCACAGCUCAACACCCUUCAUAUAUUUUAUUUGGAAAGGUCACUUUUCCGUAUAGGGCUUCAUCAGAAACUUGCGAUUCUCACAAAUUCAUCAUAAAAUAACCUCCACUUGGGGCGGAUGUUCCAUAUAUUGACACAUGUCACGAACCUAUCGACUUGAGGGACAAGUCCACCACAUCUCUAGUCCUUUCGCAUAGGAUCGAGUUUUGGGAUGAUUAAGUUGCUAGGGUAAUAACCUCAUAAGUGCUCCACCUAUUUUUCAAUCUUAUGUGCUUGGGGCAUAGAUUCCUUAUGUUAAUUACCAUUUAGUCAUAAUUCAAUAUCGUAUAUCUUUGAAAACCCUAUCAUAUUCAUGCUGCAAGGAUUUUCUCACUUCGAGUCCGAUUGAUUUCCCAUAUGCUCAAGAAGGUAUUUUAUGACACGUACUUGGCUGUUUCUCCUCAAGCUUAUCAUUGACAAACCAGUCACCUAUGACAUAAAGAACUCAUCAUUAUCUCGUUCGGAACUCCUCGUCUCCUAAGAAUAACCUAUAUUAUCAUCUAUAUCCUCCCGGCCAUGUAUCCCAUAUAUCACAUGCCAAAACAACUCAGUUCUUUUACAUUUUGGGAUCAUAUACAUAGUUCUCAUGUUAUCCAUAUGUACUGGUUAACUUUAGGUCUCCCUUAGUCGAAUAAAUGAUGUUAUCGCCAUGAUUAACCAUGCUAGUACUAUUGGUAGUAACCUUGAUACGUCUUAGGAUAUAACUUCUAGAAAUGACUCUACUCAAUACAUUGAUGGAUUCUUGAACAAUUCUAGCUCACUCUCGAACCUCACCCUUCCUAAAUGAACUAAACUUGCUGGUGUUGAAGGUUCAAACAUGUAAAAGUAUCAUUCCAUUAUCAAACAAAAAGGGCAAGAGACUCUAUGGUUAUAUUCAUUCCAGCUCAUCGUAGAAUAAGGUGGAGAAGGUUGAGGGAUGCCAAAAGUCCAAUUCGGAUGUUCGACAUAGAAAUUUGGAGUUUGGGAAAGUGAAUGGGUUCUUCUAAAAAAUUUCUCCAUGAAGACGUUAUGUGAUUUGUUAAUAAAGCUAAAUUGAGUCCAGUGCACAUUUGGGCCUUAUAGAAUCUAGAAGAAAAUAUGCCAAGUAGCAUAUGAGGUUGAUUAUCUCAAGAGUUGUCAUCCAUGCAUCCCGUGCUUCAUGUGUCCCAGUUGAAGCAAAUUACUGAGGGAUUUUUCACUCAUUAUCCCUAUGGAGAAUAUUGGAAUUUAUGAAGGUUUGACCCGUGAAAAGGUUCCUUUCCAUCCUUGAUAGACAUGUUCGAAAGUUGAGAAAUGGAGCGAUUGCCUCUAUCUAGUGUUGUGGCAAAAUCAAUAAUGUCGAAGAGGCCACCUGGGAGGCCGAGGAAAAUAGGAAACAAAAAUAUCCCCAUUUGAUGUAUAACCCAAUGGUUGUGUUUAAAAGAAUGUUAGCAGUGUACUAAAUGUUUUAAACUCGUACAGCUUAUGGUAAGAUGCCCUUUUUGUUAAUACAAUGCUUGUAAUUUUGAGAUUGGUGUUAUAUAUAUGUUGUGAUGCUUCAUUGAGUUGUGGAUGUAUUGUUAGUGUUCGGUUUUGUGGCUCUCUAACAGGUGGAUAGACCUAAAAAUAGGGGAAUUUCUGUAAAAAAUUUUGGAAAUCUGGAGAGUUAGCCAAUUUGAGGCACUAAUGAUUAAUGAUAAGUAGCAAGAGGCAUAUGAAGUUUAUUAAGUGAAGAGCAAAGUCAUUUUUGGUGUCUAGGGUGGACUCUAACCCUUAUUCGGGGAUGAAUAAUCCUAAGCAGGGAGGAUGUAAGGCCCAACGAAUUUCUAUAGCUAAUUCAAGCAAUUUCGAGCUUAGGAAUAUAAUUUGAUUUAGACCCAAAUUUUAUGAGAAAUUACUGGAAUGGAUAAUGUUAUUUGGAUACUUGGGGUAAUUAUUUUAUUAAUCUUUGAGUGUUGGAUCAAUGGGAAAACACUUGGAUGUUAAUUUCAAAGAAAUAAAACUAAAGAAAUAACAAUGAACUAUCUCCCCAUAGCACAAUUAUAGCACAUGAGGGAAGCACGAAUUUUAGCAAACCAGUGAGCUAAAGCUCUAUAGCACAGCUAUAGCACCAGUGAAAAAAUACUGUACUUGAACCUAUUAAUACAUGAGCGGGGAGAGAUAAACAAAAGGGAUUUCAAGGCUAGGGCUUUUCUCUCCACCACCAACCUGACCAAGGCUUCCACUACACACUAAAGGUGAGUUUUUAAGUGUAUUUUAUGAUGAUUUCACCUUUCAAUCACUAGUUACAAUAGGGUUUUGUCUUGGAUUCCAUAGGAUUUUUUCAAAAUCUCAAGAACACCCCAAAAGAUGGAUUUCAAGAUUUGGGCUACAAGAAGUAAUUCUUCACCCUUAAACCUAUAUGUUGUUGCACCCUAUUUUGCAUGAGUCAAAACAAGAUUCAACUAGUGAUUUCCUGUUGAUGAUAAAAGAGAGUCACCACCUAAUAUUUAAAGGUAUACUAGGGUACUUAUUUGAUUAUUAAGAUUAUUAUCCUAUUAGUCUGCUAACCAGUGAGAUUUGGAUAAAGUUUCUUGUUCUUCUAAGGGAAAGGUAUUAGGCACCCCCUAGAAUCUACCUAAGGUAGCUCCAUAGAACUUAGACUAGGUUGGGGAAUUAAAUGUCUAUAUUCUACUUGGUUAGUACUUAAAAAUGUACUCUAUGUCAUGUUUGGAACUUAUCAUUUUUAAAGGAAGAUAGUAUAUGUACUUUGAAAAGAGAGUAUAGGUUUUGCUUGGGAAAGUACCUUUAAAAAUAUUUACAUAGUUGAAAUAGUUUUAGAAAUGUAUUUAUAAUGUCUAUGUUUGUAAACUUGCAAACAUAGCUAUGUUUUAAAACAAUUUAGCCUUGAAAAAAAAUGGCUAUAUGUGUAACUUUAGUAAAGUAAGGCUAUUUGAAGAAAUAGGUUUUGGAUAUCCCUUAAGACCAAUUUCAAAUCUUGUACCCAAGUUCAUUUGAAGUAUCAUCGACUGCGACUGCAUUUGUUUCGAUUUGUAAAAAACUUGAUCUUGAAAUCAUUUGCCCGGUUUUUGGAUUUUAAGGAAAAAAGUUGUCAACUUUUGAAUAUGUUUUUGAACUUCAAAGAAUUCCAUGAAAACGGUUAGUAUCAGUGAAAGUAAAACUAUAUGGCAGAAGCAAUUGAGUAUGUUAAACUAUUUAACCAAUGUAAGAAAUAACAAUUCCUUUUAAUUGUCCUAUGGUUUUUACCUUGCCUAGAUUUCUGAGGUAAUUCAUAGAUAAUAAAUACAGAGAAAGCAUUUACUAAAUAUUAUUAAUGUUAUAUACACAAAAGGCAACAACAAAUUAUGUAAAGCAAUAAGGAAAGAGAAUUGGACUCAUGGUUUGGGCCUGAAGAAUGUUAGGCCCAGCAGACAACGAACAACAAUAACAACUUUAGGUGACUCCAAGUUCGGACUAAGAAUUUGGGUCUGAGUUCUUUGAGAACUGGGUAGGCCCAACUCAAAUUCAUGUAAAAAAAAGAAAAAGAGAAGGUCAUCAGAUACAUGGCCCAAUUCAACAUUUAAACAUAAGUAAUAUCAGUAUAGGCCCAAGAUAAAACAGUAACAAAUACUGGUAAUUAAGAAUGCAAUAAAAUUAAUGUAAGAUCAAAAAGAGUAAACAAAUUAACAGUGAGGCCUUUUUAUUAUUUAACACUAACCCUAAAAAGAUUAAUAAGUGUCAAUGGUUAAAAGCUUAAGAUAAAAUCCCAUUCAUGGCCAAGGUACCCUUUGGAUCCCUGGCAUUUCAGAUUUCACAAGGGUCUCAGGGACCCCGAGCAGUGCUUGUGUCAGGGAAGGCAUCUCAACCACAAACUAAACCUUACUUGCAAAUACCCUUAACUACUCACACUUACUCUUCUUUAUAGGUUUAAGUACCAAUGAGGCACUCACUGUAGCUCUAAAGCAAUAAUAAUAUCAUAGAGGUAUAUACAAUUCUCACAUAGAUUAUUCAAAAUAUUACUAUGAAUAUUGUGAUAGCAAAUAGCAUCAUAGGGAUUACAAUCCAAACACAAGGGUGUAGUACACAGUCAACAUCUUCAACAUACUUAGGAAUACUCAAAGAAACCAAUAACAGGUACAACCAAAGAGAGGGAACACCAACAAAUUAUUUAGGAAUAAAAACAUUCAGUCAUAUGAUUAAGGAGUAAGGAGACACAUGCAUCUACUGAUAAUUUCAAAUUUUACAAGAGUCCCUACUCAUAACACCUUGACAGCUUAUUAGACUAUGUUUUGAAUUAAUCAAAGGUUCAUUCAUAGACUAAGUCUUAAUCUCUACUAAUAGUAUAAGUUAAUAGCCUCAUUUCGAAUCCUUAAAGUAUAUUAACAAGGACACUUAAGCAAACAAAUUGAUCUUUGCAUAAGCAGAUGACAUAAUCUUUAAAGGCUAAUAACAUCACAUUCAUACUAGGCUCAUUAGGAGUUAAGACAUUCAAAUAAACACAAGGUAAUGUUCUGACAGGGCAGGUAAGCAUUAAGAGCUUCCCUUAAGUCUAUAGGUAAGACACAAUUAACUAUGUAGGCCUAGCAAGGCUGAAUUUCCCUUAUGUGAUAGUACAAUAUGAGAGCAUAAGCAUGAGUAUAAAAGGUAAGCAGUAAGUUUGUUUAAUGAAUGAGUGCAGAAAAACUAGGAGAAGAUAACUACGCACUUACAAGAGAUAUCCUUGAGGAGUGCAAGACUACAACAUGGUAGAAUGUCAAACAGCAUAGGGCCAGACCAACAAAUUCAUUACAGAAGUCUAGGACAAGGAAGGUUUCACAUUAAAUAAGCAUGGUUCUAGUAGCAAGACAACUAGUCUGGUUAAACAGGUGAAUACAUUAGUCCAAGCAUGAUAAAGUUUAACUUAGUAUGGUCAGUUCAAGAAUGAUAUACAUGUACAAUAACUAUAACUCUCAACCAAACUCUAUUUCUUAAUCAUAUACUUGAAGACUAUUCUAAACAUGUUUGGUCUAGGUUAACAGUAGCAAUAAGAGUUCAUAUUAGAUUUACUACAAAAAUUAAUUAGAACUUAAACCAAUUUCAUUUCAGAACAUAUUUACAUUUGGGUGAGGCUUCACAUAUAUGAUAACAUAAUCAAGGAUGUUGACAGGAAAACCUUUACAGUGAUCUCUUAAGAGGUCUCAGAAUUACAGAAGAACAUUGGAAUAGAGAAAGCAACCCAAACAACUUGAACUGGUAUGCCUUAACUAAAAUGACAACCAUGUAUUUAAACUUAAGUGUUCAUAUUCCUUUUUUAGUUUUGGUUUAUCAGAUAGAUAACCUUAAGUACAUGAUGCAAAUCAACAAGUAACACUAAGUAAGGAUCAGUAAAGUAAGCAUGAGGACCAUAGCAAAGUCAUCAGGGAAGUUUAAGGUCAAAGCAGAUGUACAUAAUCAGUAAGGUUCUUUGUUAAUCACACAUUGUAUAUUCAUCAAAAUUACAAAAUGGUUGAUUAGUAUUGAUUUAGCUUCAGAUCAUUGAGGGAAAUAGUACCAAAGCAUAAUGUCGAUUAUGAUCUAAUAAAAAUACAUUAUGAGCAAAGAUAAUCAAUUAUAAACUAAUAACAACACAUCAUGAGCAGAAUUAAUUAACAGAAGAUAACAUAGUAGGUAUAAUUUUAACUAAACAAUUAAAGGAGAGGAAGGGUCGAAGCUCGCUGACCUUCAUUUGAGCAGCAAAUCAAUCAAGGAUUUUUGUUAGCCUUUAGGAACCAAGAACUCAAACUCCGACCACUGUAGAGCUCGGAAUCAAAAAGAAAUCAGAAGCUAGUUAGAAAACCCUAGCUUGAUGUUUACUACUCAAGAUUAAAAUUGAUAUUUCUCUGUUUGCUAAGUGAUUUCGUGUGUAUCUAGUGUUAGGUGAGAGCAUUUAAAGCCCCAUUUUAUAGUGGCAUUAAAUGCCUUAGGUUCAACAGAAAUCAAACUCGGUAGUGGAGGGUGACGAAGGAGUAGUGAUGUGAGCAUAAUCAGGUGAAAAUAUGAGAAGACACAGGUAAAUCAAUAGGGAUUUUACAUGAGAGGGGGGGGGGAAGUUGAUUGUUGAAGGCAAACUCCAUCGGGUAAGAGCCUCAAUGUCCAGAGGUCGCUUUGUUUGACCUCUGGACCAAGAAUAAAUAUGAUAGCGCUAGGAGACGGCCAUGCAUGCCACUGAUUUAACAAAACAUAGAAGAUUUCUGAAGACUUGACCUUGCAUCGUUUGACAUAAGGUUUCAGAUUUGGGGAUUUUUAAAUUUGAGAGAUGAGACGGGGAAAAAACGGCGAGAUUCGCAGAUUAAGGAGGCAAAGGGGAUGAUUUCAUGGGUGAUUUGAGACCUUGCACGAAUUUGUGCAAGGUUUUUUAAUUGAUUAGGGUGAUAGGAGUUGAGAGAAUAGAGAGAAAAGGUGAAAUGAGGGGUGGCUGGUCUUAGACGAAAUGAUUUAGGGUU
rnacentral:lncRNA from 1 species